ensembl:lncRNA
AUGGCCUCUGUUAUCUCCACAAAGACCUUUGUCCAACCAAGGCUGGCCAUAGAGAAGAGUGAGAGGACAUCCAUGGAGGGCCCAAGAAGAACCUGCAAGUUCCCUCUGCUGGGCCAGACAAAUAGACCCUCUCUCAGCCUUUUAGACCAGAAGGGACCUCCAUUCCAGCCAGAGAUCACAGACAACAGAUACUUCAACCAAGACUCAACCUGCCUGCCUGGUGCUGCCCUGAGCCCCUCUGGAAGGAAAUAUUGGUGCAAAUUACCUGAGACAUCACAGUGGGGUGCAGGCACACAGGUGGAAGGAGCCCAGAGGCCAAUGGCCCAGGUUUGUUGACACUGCUCUGUCAAUGCUGUCCAACGCUGCUCUGUGAUCCUGGGUAAGUCUCCUAACCUCUCACAACCAUGGUUUUUCGAUCUAUGAAAAAAGAGAUAAGAUCUAGGUAAUAAGAUCUAGGUGAUUCCUGGAUGCACAUAUAAUCUCUGCUUGUGGAUAGUGGAUCCUGCCAGGAAGAGAACUCUUCUGAAAUGUCCAUGCUCAUAGGUACGUACUGGGUAUGCCCCAUUGUGGUCAAAAUUCUCUUCUUUGGGAAAUCCACUCCUUCCCCAGCCAACUUUUUAAAAUCAGACUCCCUGCCCCACCUGGCCACAGACUGGCUUGAAGAAAUGAACAGGGAGCAUCUGAUUCCUGCACCUGGAAAUGACCGUGAGAAAGGAGGGGAGGAACCUGUGGACACCGAGUUGAGAAGUGGUGAGGGAGGUGCAGGUCAGUGUGCAGGUCAGUCAUCAGGGGUGACUGGGGGAUAGUGUGAUGUUUGGAGGGCACUGGCUGGGGAGGGAGGAAAUUGGAGCAGAGACACAUGGAAAUGUCUUGACAGAAAGGCCGUGCAGCCUCUGCAGGAAGGAGAGGGGAGUAUAUAUGUGUGUGUAUAUAUGAUAUAUGAUACAUAUACCACAUUUUCUUUACCCAUUCAUCUGGCAACAAACUCUUAGAUUGUUUCUAUAUCUUGGCUAUUGUAAGUAAGGCUGCACUGAACAUGGCAGUGCAAAUAUCUCUUUAAGACAGCAUUCUUUUUACAUUAGGAAAAAGUCAACAAUGAAUUGAAAAGAUUAUGCCCACUUUCCCAUUUCUUUCCAUGGGAGCCAGUUCUUGUCCACUCCAAGCCCUUGCUGACCCCAGUUGUGUCUGAAAUAUCACAUGACUUGAGUUCUGCCCUGCAUUGCUGAGGACUUUGGUUGGCUAGAAGGUUGGUGGGUUGGAUUAUCUCUAGGACUCGGUGA